GGAGAGUAGGAGUGAAGAGAAGUAGGAGUUGGAGCAAGAGAGGGGAGGUGGGUGGGGGGAAGUAGGUGUGAGAGUGAAUAUAUAUAUAUAUAUAUA